rnacentral:rRNA from 1 species
GAUGAACGCUGGCGGCGUGCCUAAUACAUGCAAGUCGAGCGAACAGACGAGGAGCUUGCUCCUCUGACGUUAGCGGCGGACGGGUGAGUAACACGUGGAUAACCUACCUAUAAGACUGGGAUAACUUCGGGAAACCGGAGCUAAUACCGGAUAAUAUAUUGAACCGCAUGGUUCAAUAGUGAAAGACGGUUUUGCUGUCACUUAUAGAUGGAUCCGCGCCGCAUUAGCUAGUUGGUAAGGUAACGGCUUACCAAGGCGAGUAUGCGUAGCCGAGCUCAGGGGGUGGUCGGCCACACUGGAGCUGGGACACGGUCCAGGCUCCUACGGGAGGCACCAGUCGGGAAUCUUACGCAGUGGGCGAGAGCCUGACGGAGCAACGCCGCGUGAGUGGUGACGGUCUUCGGAUCGUAAAACUCUGUUAUUAGUGAAGAACAAAUGUGUAAGUAACUAUGCACGUCUUGACGGUACCUAAUCAGAAAGCCACGGCUAACUACGUG